AAGGUAAGGUUUAGACCAAUGAAAGAUGGAGUUUACUUUUGCAAGAGACCUGAAUGGGUGUCUAGAAAAGCGUGGAAUGACCAUCUUGAGAACCUGAAACCCAGAAAAGAUUAAGAUGCUUUUUUAUUCUAGAAUUCAAAUGGAAAAUAAGACUAAACUGGGAAAUAAGCAUAACAAACCAGUUGACUUCUUAUUUUUCCAAAGGACAUCAGGAGGACGUGUCAUGGCCCCAUCAGCCACAAGUACUACCUGGAAAUGGAACAUGUCUCCACACCUAUGACACUCUCCUACUGAUCUUGCUACUCAUUGAGAAAGACUGUAUCCAUGGUGAUCAGGAGAGUAACAAGUGGGAAACCUUCUCAACUGGAACAGAGCCCAUUUCUCCCCCUGGACAACAGUUCUGAUGCUAAUCACGGCAAGGCCCCAGCAGCCUCUUGAAGCGCCACGGAGCAAUCCAUGUUCAGCUGUGACCGGAAUUCCAAACGUAGAAAGUAAAAGGCAACACUGAACUAUUUUGAUACUCAAAUGGAUUGUGGAAAAUACUUCCGGAUAUUGGAUGUUUUCAAUGUGAGAGGCAGGACUGUGUAUGGAAAUUGUAACUGUACUUCAGUCCUACUGGAUCGUCUCUUCUGCCCCCCAGAGGGUGGCAAGCAUACAUGUUAGAUUUGGGUAGAAGUUCUUGCAGCAGGGAAUGACGGCUCACCACCUCCUGCCAUGCUUCAGAGCCUUCACUCCUCAGAUUUCAACAGUUGACCUCUGCCUGUGGAGGUGAAGUCUCGAGGCAAAUAGUAGAGUUACCCCCAUUUCUUCUUUCUUUGAGAGAAGCAGUCUGUAAGGCAAUACUUCAGCCCCCUGAAAUACGUCCAAGAACCCUCAAGAAAUUGCUCUCAUCCUUCAGUUGAAAAUCACCUUCUAAUUUUCUUCCUGAAAUGCUGGUGUAACCAUUCUACUCUGGAAGAGUGGAGUUCUUGAAGGGCUAUGUGCUCCUUCCAGUUAUCCUGAUGAAGGUGGUAUGUGCUCUGGAAGGCUCACCCAAGCAUGGGAAGAUGGUGGUGAUACUUUUCUUGUGUGCAUAUGAUAGGCAUAGAAUCAGCAUUUUAGGUCUAGUUAUAACCUCUUUCAUUUAGCAGCUGAGGAAAGCUGGACCCAAGGGCUAUCUUGCUUAGGAUAACUGUCCCACAGCCACUGUAAGCAUACAAGUUCCUUUUUUUUUUUUUUUUAAGCUUACUUAUUUAUUUUGAGAGAGACAGAGAGAAUGAGUGGGGGAGGGGCAGAAGGAGAGGGAGUCAGAAGAUCUGAAGUGGGCUCUGGGCUGAAAGCAGAGAGCCUGAUGCGGAACUCAAAGUCGCGAACCACAAGACCAUGACUUGAGCCAAAGUCGGAUGAUUAACUGACUGAGCCACCCAGAUGCCCCAGAAUACAAGUUUCAAACUUGCAGGCACUGCUUCACCUCCCACACGUCCCAACCCAAAGGACCCACGAGUCUUCCCACGACGUUCCAUCGUCUUUUCUCAGUGGUCGAUUACACUGCUCUGAAUGAGUUAUUGUGUCCACGGUUGCAUAAGAUUCCCUCCAAACUGCAGCUUGUUUGCAUUCUUGUCAUAAUAUACAGCCAGAGACUCAAAAAAUUCUCCCUGAAAUAAAGGAACUCAGUAUUCUUAAGCUAGCAAAACUCUGAUUGCUUUAUUUAUUGAUACCCCCUGCAGUAAAACAUCACAGAGAUGGAGUGUGGAGCUCUCUUUUGGUGCCAAGCUAAUUAGAGUACAGUUGUGAGAAAUGGUUUUAUACUA